UGGGGCGUCGCCAAGUGGUAAGGCAACAGGUUUUGGUCCUGUUAUUCAAAGGUUCGAAUCCUUUCGUCCCAG
rnacentral:tRNA from 1 species